rnacentral:rRNA from 2 species
UACGAAGGGUGCAAGCGUUACUCGGAAUUACUGGGCGUAAAGCGUGCGUAGGUGGUGAGUUAAGUCUGUCGUGAAAGCCCCGGGCUCAACCUGGGAAUGGCGAUGGAUACUGGCUCGCUAGAGUGCGGUAGAGGAGAGUGGAAUUCCCGGUGUAGCAGUGAAAUGCGUAGAGAUCGGGAGGAACAUCAGUUGCGAAGGCGGCUCUCUGGACCAGCACUGACACUGAGGCACGAAAGCGUGGGGAGCAAAC